UCCAACUUUAGCAUUGCUAAUGAAAACUGUUGUUUGAUAAUGUUAGCAUUAGCCAUAGACACCGUGAGAAGCGACUCUUUCCUUGUCAGUGGUGUAAAAUAUGUAGUUGGAUAGUUUCAUGUGGUUCUUCUCCCUCGCUGUGUUAUGGCUUUGCUAUGUGGGGAUAAAUGUGCUGGUUACGUUUGUGAGACAAUCAGCUGAUUGGUAUUAUUGAAACCGUAAGUUAGCCUACAGCAUUACAGCUCAUAUUAGCCUGCUAAACUUUUACUACCCUGUUAGAAGAAAUAUAUGUAACAUUAGUUGGAUUGUUAUUUCGAAGGUUGUUCUCCAGCGCUUCGGCUUCGUUUAGUGAACAGAAAUGUGUCAUUUGUGAGACAAUCAGCUGAUGAUUACAAUUAGCUAAAAAACCGUAACAUUGCAUGGAGCAUGGUGGCUCAGAUUAGCAAGCUAAAUGUUUACUGCCCUGGUGGAAAACAUUUAUUUUUACUGCUAACAGCAUUAUGAUAACAACACUGUGCCUAUCAAGUGACUAAUUAUGCUUAUUGUCAGAAUUUGCAUUAGAAACAACGUAUUUGUUUGUAUUGCUUCUAUGGUGCAUACAAAGGUUACCACAAGCUCAAAUGAUGGCACUCGGGACUUAUUUGUGUUAUAUUGUAGAGCACCCUUGAUCCUCACCUGACCAUGGCUUUGUAAACUUACCCAUGAUGUGGUUUAUAAUGUACUGUGGUACUUAAACAGGGACAUUUUUACACACUCUUGGCUUACGUGUUAUGUUGUCUGUCAGUGAUCAUACUUGCACUAGAUGUGAUAGUUUUUGGGAUGUUCAGUUUAUUAGGCCAGAUGAGCAAACCCUACAAAGAUGUAACACAUUGUGGAUUACAGUACAGUAAUGUGCAACAUCGACUCCCUUUGCAGUCCCAGCUCCAGCAUUGUCUAGCAUUGGUGCUUCUAGUGGAACAGACCGAGAUGAGCAUCUUGAUGUCAUUCCAGAAGCCACAGAAAUUCAGGGCCUUGAACAAAGCUUACAUGACAUGAGCAUCAUUGAGGAGGACUUGGAGGAAAAUGUUUUCAAUGACCCAAUGAACAGUGUAAUGGGUGGAGCACUGAAGAAAGCAAUCUCUAUCUGUGGACGUCCUGUUAUUGGAAUCGACGAGACUGUGACCUGAUCUCCCUGAGAUCAUGACCCUGUUUUCCCAGAACCACAGAAUGUCCUUUGUGAAGAUGACAUCAUAGGUGUCAGAGCCUCCAUAGUGUACGAGAACUGCUUAAGACAACUGGCUACAUUUCUGAUCCUGCCUGUGGAUAAGUGCACUGGCCUUCUGAGGACUGGUGCGCUGUGCAACUCUGUUACACCCUUUGAGAUCAACAUCACCACCAAGGGCACAGCAGAUACUAUCGAAUGGGUACAUGACAAAUGUCAAAUGUUUCUUCUGUGGGACUUUUAGAUCUGUCCUAAUGGACACAGCUUGUGGAGGUGGAAUUCCCAACCUGUGAUGAAGUUUGGGAUUCAAGCUGGAGAUUUUCUCUUGUCCACCAACAUUUUGUUGUCUGGCAACAACUACGCAAAGGUUGCCCUCUUGUUCAAAUUCAUGAACAGGGGGAUGGUGAACAGGAACACCAACUUCUCCAUUCAGGACACUUACUGCGUCAGUAAAAUAAAGGACUUCUGGGAAGAGAGAAGGACAGAGGUUUUUUUUGUCUCCUUCAAGGGAAAGAUGAUGUUGUCCUAGAUGGCAGAAAUGACUCUCCUGGUCACUGUGCACAAUACUGCAGCUACACCACCAUGGAGAAUGACACCAAUCAUUCAUGUUGCCACCAUAGACAAGCGACAAACAUCAUGGAAUUCUGUCAUCUUGGAGAAGGAGGGUUUCAUCCAGACUGUGGACAAGUUUACAUCAGAGAUAAAGCUAGUGGAAAUCUGCACAGAUGCUCAUGCCCAGAUUGGUGCCCUUAUGAACCCAGACAAAGGCAAAUACAAGGCCCUUGGAAUUCAUCACAGUCUGGACAUAUGGCAUGUUGCGAAGAACCUUUCCAAAAAAAUAUCAGCAGCAAAGGUAAAAGGAGAGUCCAUCCUCUUCAACUGGCUGAAGGACAUAGUCAACCAUUUUCGGUGGUGUUGCAAGACUGCCGACACACGUGGGCAGUUUCUUAUAAGCACACAAUUUUAUUAUAUCUUUUGAGUAAUUUCAUUAAUUGCUAUAUUAAGGACAUAUAUAUAUAUAUAUAUAUAUAUAUAUAUAUAUAUAUAUAUAUGAGUGCAUUUUUAUGUUUUGCAGUCAUUAUGGGUUGGCAUCCUUCACUAUGUCUGCAACAUUCACACCUGGACUAUGGGAAGCUGCAAACACGGGCACCUUAAAUUGGAGCAAAUAAGGGGAAAGAUGUGUAUCCAAAGAGACUCCCAGUGCCACAAAGCUUUAGUGGAUAUAGUUCUCGAUAAGAGGUGGCAGAAAGAUGUUCACAACUAUCCGCGAUUCAGAUCGACUGCAGACCUAGAGUCAUUCCAGAAUCAUAUCCUGAUGUAUGCCAGCAAGCGCUAUGCUUUCAGCCCCCCAGUUUGAGGCAAGAGUUCUGCUUGCUGUUUUGGACUACAAUUUCCACCGGAACCGACCAACAAUGAAAACGUUGGACAGCAAAGAGAUUUUCAAAACAUUGUAUAAGAAGAAUGGUAGAAGAUACAGCGUAUAUGCCUUGAAAUCUGAAAAAACCUACGGAUACAUUUCCAAGUUGUAAAGAAGGAUUAUGAAGAACAGACUCACAAGUGGAGUGGGGAUGCCUAGAAGCAGGAGCCUUCUCCCAGAUGACCCCAGACAGCUUGGUUUGGUGCCCCCCGUACCUGCACCAGCCACAUCAGACUUGUUGCAGAGACAAGUCAGAAGAGGUCUAGGACCGUUAUUCCGACCAGCAUCUGAUGUGGAAGGAUCCCCAUAGGAGAUCACCUAGCAUGUGUCCUGGUACUUGUCAGGCAGGAUCACAAGGGAAAGAAUUCAGUUCACUGACAAAGUCAUAGCUUUUACUCUUCAAAAAGGAAAAUGUAUUAACAUUAAAUUCUGUUCCUACCCUCCUCCAGUGGUUAUUUCAUGUUUUUCCAUUUUGUACACGUUUCAUCUUAUUCUGCUAAGUACACUGUGACCAGCGCAUAUUAUUUUCAGUAGGUAGCCUAAAUUACAGUUUACAAUUUGAACUGUAAUGAUAAGUAAGGCUACAGCUGUCCCCUAUUAUGUAAAUAUAAAUAACUAAAAUUGGUAUUGGAAAUGUUGUGGCAAAGUUUGAAACUGUCAUACUUUUCUAAAGACAUGUACAAAUGUAUAUAAUGAAAAUAAAAACACCAUGUGCUUCUA